rnacentral:rRNA from 1 species
UGGGGAAUAUUGGACAAUGGGCGCAAGCCUGAUCCAGCCAUGCCGCGUGAGUGAUGCAGGCCCUAGGGUUGUAAAGCUCUUUCACCGGUGAAGAUAAUGACGGUAACCGGAGAAGAAGCCCCGGCUAACUUCGUGCCAGCAGCCGCGGUAAUACGAAGGGGGCUAGCGUUGUUCGGAUUUACUGGGCGUAAAGCGCACGUAGGCGGACUUUUAAGUCAGGGGUGAAAUCCCGGGGCUCAACCCCGGAACUGCCUUUGAUACUGGAAGUCUUGAGUAUGGUAGAGGUGAGUGGAAUUCCGAGUGUAGAGGUGAAAUUCGUAGAUAUUCGGAGGAACACCAGUGGCGAAGGCGGCUCACUGGACCAUUACUGACGCUGAGGUGCGAAAGCGUGGGGAGCAAACAGG